UUUAUUGGAGAGUUUGAUCCUGGCUCAGGAUGAACGCUGGCGGCGUGCCUAAUACAUGCAAGUCGAGCGAAUGGAUUGAGAGCUUGCUCUCAAGAAGUUAGCGGCGGACGGGUGAGUAACACGUGGGUAACCUGCCCAUAAGACUGGGAUAACUCCGGGAAACCGGGGCUAAUACCGGAUAACAUUUUGAACUGCAUGGUUCGAAAUUGAAAGGCGGCUUCGGCUGUCACUUAUGGAUGGACCCGCGUCGCAUUAGCUAGUUGGUGAGGUAACGGCUCACCA
rnacentral:rRNA from 1 species